CAAUGAUUUUUUAAAUUGCUGUGGUAUUUUGACUAUACAAAGGUAUUGAAAUAAGAUUUUAAUUGAAUGCUAAGAGAAUGGAAUUUCAGAAAAAAACUUUUUUUAAAUUAAAAAUUGAAAUUUUUUUAAUUUGUGCAGAAACAAUUAUUAACAUUAAGGACAAGAAGACCCUAUGAAUUUUUGAAAUUUUUAAUAAUUAAUUUAUUAUUAUUAUUAAAAAUUUUAGCUGGGGCGGCUAAAAAAUAUAAUUAACUUUUUAAGAAUAAAACGAUCCACUAAUAAUGAUUACAUGUUAAAUACUCUAGGGAUAACAGCGUUAUAUUUUUUGAUAGACCAUAUUGACAAAAAAGUUUGCGACCUCGAUGUUGGAUUAGGAUACUUUUUUAAUGAAGAUAUUAAAAAAAGAAGUUUGUUCAACUUUUAAUUUCCUACUUGAUCUGA
rnacentral:rRNA from 1 species